rnacentral:rRNA from 1 species
UACGAAGGGGGCUAGCGUUGUUCGGAUUUACUGGGCGUAAAGCGCACGUAGGCGGAUCGUUAAGUCAGGGGUGAAAGCCCGGAGCUCAACUCCGGAACUGCCAUUGAAACUGUUUAGCUUGAGGACGAGAGAGGUGAGUGGAAUUCCCAGUGUAGAGGGGAAAUGCGUAGAUAUUGGGAAGAACACCGGUGGCGAAGGCGGCUCACUGGCUCGUAUCUGACGCUCAGGCGCGAUAGCGUGGGGAUCAAACAGG